rnacentral:misc_RNA from 1 species
GAUGAAGAACGUAGCGAAAUGCGAUAAGUAAUGCGAAUUGCAGAAUUCAGUGAGUCAUCGAAUCUUUGAACGCACAUUGCGCCCUGUGGUAUUCCGCAGGGCAUGCCUGUUCGAGCGUCAUUUCAACCCUCAAGCUCUGCUUGGUGUUGGGCCCUGCCCGCUGCGGCCGGCCCUAAAGACAGUGGCGGUGCCGCCUGGCCCUGAGCGUAGUACAUCUCUCGCUCCAGUGCCCGGUGGUAGCCUGCCAGAACCCCAACUCUCGUGGUUGACCUCGGAUCAGGUAGGGAUACCCGCUGAACUUAAGCAUAUCAAUAAGCGGAGUA